rnacentral:lncRNA from 1 species
AGGCUUUGACUCCGGCUCAACUGGUGCUUCAGCAGGCUUCGAUUCUGGCUCAGCUGGCGUUUCAGCAGGCUUUGAUUUUGCCUCAGCUGGUGAUUCAGCAGGCUUCGACUCUGGUGGGGCUGGUGUUUCAGCUGGCUUUGAUUCUGGUGCUUCAGCAGGCUUUGACUCUAGUGGGGCCGGUGUUUCAGCUGGCUUUGAUUCUGGUACUUCUGCUGCUUCCCAGAAAGAAGAUACCUUCCCGGUUUUUGAAACGGUCUGCAGAACAGCUUCUGGCUGGACAUUGCCUUUCACGGUCACUUUUUGC